UGGUGAACCUGGAGUCUCUUUGACAGUCACAGGCCUCCAAGUGCAUGUUGGACCAUCUUCACCCACCAGGACAGAGCUGACAUGUCACAAUAAUUGUCAGCUGCUUGAUUAUCCUUCCUAUGUCUGGUACAAGAAUGGCCAACCAACUGAGGAGAAGACAGGUUACUUUUAUCAGAACCAAAUUAAUCCUGAUGACUACUACUCUUGUGCUCUAUCAGGAUACGAGUCUUUCUGCUCUCCUCCAGUGUAUGCUCCAAAGCUUCCCUCUG